UGACGAACGAAGAACAGAGAACACAUCAGAGAGAACAAGGAGCUCAGAAUGAAGAAGAGAGAACACCACUUUGCUUUACUUGUUCCGUCCGUCCGUCCGUUCGAGUGGAGUCGAACUUUCUCCGAUGAAAUGACGACCGACCAGCAGGAUUUUCAUGGCUUACAGGAAACCGUGCGAGCACCAGGGAUGCAAAGGCUUAAAUCCCUGUCUUCUUCACACUCAUUUACAGUUUACUUUACCUACUUUUACACAAAGGCCGACCGACCGACCAUCCAAACCAGUGCCAGGCAGCCAGAGGAAAACAAAUUAUAGAAGGACCAACUCCACAAAUUGAGAUGACGACGACUACAUGACGAGAAGUUGUCAUCUUAUGGACGUAAAUACAUCUCAUCCUCGCCUUUAAUCUUCGUCUUUCAUCUCUUUGCUGGCCUGGCCUGAUUGAAAGGGGAAAAGGUUCAAUCAAAAUCAGAGCCGUUUAUGUAUAAUCAAAUCCUCAGAGUCGUUAUGGGCUUGUUAAAUUAAAUGUACUAAUAGUUGUCCUUUGCCUGCCUCGUGUAACUCAUUACUUUGCUUAUUUGUCUGCACUUUGUACCUUGUCGGGUGGGAUGCUGCGUGUGCGUUAUUAAAUCAAACCAUAAUUGCCAAAAGGUUAUUUAAUUGUAUGCAUUUUUCACAAAAGCUGGAUGAGAUUUACGUACGUACGAAAUAUAGCUUUUAUAACACGAUGUCUCAUUUCAUUACUGUAUUAUUAAUAUCUGUGUCAAAAAAGGGCUCAAUUGUAUCCAUUUUGCAAUGAAUUUCGAGCCAUACUUUUCACUACUUUGUGGCAAAAGUUGGAAGAAGUUUAUCCGUGAAAUCUAAUUAUUCGCUUUUUAACCCGAUUCUAUUAAAAUAUUAACCUUUCAGGCCU